CCUACGGGGGGCAGCAGUGAGGAAUAUUGGUCAAUGGGCGGGAGCCUGAACCAGCCAAGCCGCGUGAGGGAAGAAGGUACAGCGUAUCGUAAACCUCUUUUGUCAGGGAACAAAGGCGGGGACUAGUCUCCGGCUGAGGGUACCUGAAGAAAAAGCAUCGGCUAACUCCGUGCCAGCAGCCGCGGUAAUACGGAGGAUCCGAGCGUUAUCCGUAUUUAUUGGGUUUAAAGGGUGCGCAGGCGGCAUGUUAAGUCAGCGGUAAAAGCCCGGGGCGCAACCCCGGCGAGCCGUGGAAACUGGCGGGCUGGAGUUGGAGAGAAGUACGCGGAAUGCGCGGUGUAGCGGUGAAAUGCUUAGAUAGCGCGCAGAACCCCGAUUGCGAAGGCAGCGUACCGGCUCCACACUGACGCUGAGGCACGAAAGCGUGGGUAUCGAACAGGAUUAGAUACCCCUGUAGUC
rnacentral:rRNA from 1 species